ACGAACGCUGGCGGCGUGCCUAACACAUGCAAGUCGAAACGGGGCCGGGGGCAACUCCGGUUCAGUGGCGAACGGGUGCGUAACACGUGAGGAAGUUGUCCAUCGGUGGGGGAGAUAGCCGGCCCAACGGCCGGGUAUAAUACCGGCGUACGACCUUUCGGCGGCCAUCGUCGGGAGGUGAAAAGCAGCAAUGCGGCCGAUGGAGGCCCCUCGCGGCCUAUCAGCUAGUUGGUGAGGUAAUGGCUCACCAAGGCGACGACGGGUAGCUGGUCUGAGAGGAUGGCCAGCCACAUUGGGACUGAGACACGGCCCCAGACUCCUACGGGAGGCAGCAGUUGGGGAAUCUUGCGCAAUGGGCGAAAGCCUGACGCAGCGACGGCCCGCGUGUUGGGAUGACGGCCUUCGGGUUGUAAACCACUGUCGGGAGGGACGAAGCUCUGACGGUACCUCCAAAGGAAGCCACCGGCUAACUCUGUGCCAGCAGCCGCGGUAAUACAGAGGGUGCGAGCGUUUGUCCGGAAUCACUGGGCGUAAAGGGCGCGUUAGGCGGCCCGGUAAGUAGGGGGUGAAAUCCUGUGGCUCAACUGCAGGGCUGCCUCCUAAACUGGCGGGCUAGAGCACGGUAGAGGCAGAUGGAAUUCCCGGUGUAGCGGUGGAAUGCGUAGAGAUCGGGAAGAACAUCAGUGGCGAAGGCGGUCUGCUGGGCCGUUGCUGACGCUGAGGGCGCGACAGCGUGGGGGAGCAAACAGGAUUAGAUACCCUGGUAGUCCACGCCGUAAACGAUGGGCACUAGGCGUCGGGGGGGAGCGACCCUCCCGGUGUGCCGUCGCUAACGCAGUAAAGUGCCCCGCCUGGGGAGUACGGGCCGCAAGGCUGAAACUCCAAAGGAAUUGACGGGGGGCCCGCCACAAGCGGUGGAGCAUGUGGUUUAUUAAAUUCGAAGCAACGCGAAGAAACCUUACCUGGGCUUGACAUGCACGGGAAAGCCGGUGGAAAACAUCGGCCCCUCUUCGGAGUCCGUGCACAGGUGCUGCAUGGCUGUCGUCAGCUCGUGUCGUGAGAUGUUGGGUUAAGUCCCGCAACGAGCGCAACCCUCGUCCCUAGUUACCAGCGGGUCAUGCCGGGCACUCUAGGGAGACUGCCGGUGUCAAACCGGAGGAAGGUGGGGGAUGACGUCAAGUCAUCAUGGCCCUUACGUCCAGGGCGACACACGUGCUACAAUGGCCGGUACAGAGCGUCGCCAACCCGCGAGGGGUGCGCCAAUCGCAAAAAGCCGGUCUAUUAAGUUCGGAUUGUAGUCUGCAACUCGACUACAUGAAGCCGGAAUCGCUAGUAAUCGAGGAUCAGCCAUGCCUCGGUGAAUACGUUCCCGGGCCUUGUACACACCGCCCGUCACGCCAUGGAAGCUGGGGGGACCUGAAGCCGGUGGGCUAAACCGCAAGGGGGCAGCCGUCAAAGGUCAAUUCAGUGACUUGGGGCG
rnacentral:rRNA from 1 species